rnacentral:rRNA from 1 species
CGAGCGAACAGAUAAGGAGCUUGCUCCUUUGACGUUAGCGGCGGACGGUUGAGUAACACGUGGGCCACCUACCCUAUAACUUUGGGAUCUUCCGGGAAACCGGGGCUAAUACCAAUAAUCUCUUUUGCUUCGUGGUGAUUAACUGAAGUACGGUUUCGGUUGUCCCUAUAGGAUGGGCCCCCGGCCCUUUACCUAUUUGGGGAGGUAACGGCUCCCCAAGGCGACAAUGCUUACCCAACCUGAAAGGGGGAUCGGCCACCCGGGAACUGAAACCCGGCCCAAACUCCUACGGAAGGCACCAGUAGGGAAUCUUCCCCAAGGGGCAAAAUCCUGAUGAACCACCCCCCCGGGAGUGAAAAAGGUUUUCGGAUCGUAAAAUUCUGUUGUAAGGAAAAAACAAUUACAGUAGAAACUGGCUGUACCUUGACGGUACCUUAUUAGAAAGCCACGGCUAACUACGUGCCAGCAGCCGCGGUAAUACGUAGGUGGCAAGCGUUGUCCGGAAUUAUUGGGCGUAAGCGCGCGCAGGCGGUCCCUUAGUCUGAUGUGAAGCCACGCUCACCGUGGAGGUCAUUGGAACUGGGACUGAGUGCAGAGAGAGAGUGAAUUCCACGUGUAGCGUGAAUGCGUAGAGAUUGAGACACAGUGCGAGGCGACUCUCUGGUCUGUACUGACGCUGA